GGGAGGUAACUUCUCCUAAGGCUAAAUAACGGCGAGAGACCGAUAGCGAACAAGUGCCGUGAGGGAAAGAUGAAAAGAACUUUGAAAAGAGAGUUAAACAGUACGUGAAAUUGUUGAAAGGGAAACGAUUGAAGCCAGUCGUACCUUCGGGUAAUCAGCCUUUCGAGUGCGAUUCUGUGGAGUUUGAGGAGCUUAACACCUUCAUGCUUUGCAUAUUCGUGCUCUUGGGUGUACUUGCCCGUGAGGUUGGUUAACAUCAAUUUUGGUGGUCAUAAAAUGACUGGAGGAA
rnacentral:rRNA from 1 species